GAUUAAGCCAUGCAUGUGUAAGUAUAAAUAAUUCUACUUUGAAACUGCGAAUGGCUCAUUAUAUCAGUUAUAGUUUAUUAGAAAAAAUGUACUACUUGGAUAACCGUAGUAAUUCUAGGGCUAAUACAUGAAUGAAUCCUCGACUUUGAAGAGGUGUGUUUAUUAGUAUGAAAACCAUAUGCUUCGGCAUGAUAGGGAGUAAUAAUAACCUUUCAUAUCCUAUGUUGAAAUAACGAUAGUUCUUUCAAGUUUCUGCCCUAUCACCUUUCGAUGGUAGUGCAUUGGACUACCAUG
rnacentral:rRNA from 1 species